rnacentral:rRNA from 1 species
UUGUUCCUACGGGAGGCAGCAGUGAGGAAUAUUGGUCAAUGGGCGCAAGCCUGAACCAGCCAAGUCGCGUGAGGGAAGACGGCCCUACGGGUUGUAAACCUCUUUUGCCGGGGAGCAAGCCUGAGCACGUGUGCCCAGGCGGAGAGUACCCGGAGAAAAAGCAUCGGCUAACUCCGUGCCAGCAGCCGCGGUAAUACGGAGGAUGCGAGCGUUAUCCGGAUUUAUUGGGUUUAAAGGGUGCGCAGGCGGAAGAUCAAGUCAGCGGUAAAAUUGAGAGGCUCAACCUCUUCGAGCCGUUGAAACUG